UGGGGAGUCGCCAAGUGGUAAGGCAUCGGCCUUUGGAGCCGACAUUCGCAGGUUCGAAUCCUGCCUCCCCAGCCC
rnacentral:tRNA from 1 species